UACAGAGGGUGCAAGCGUUAAUCGGAAUUACUGGGCGUAAAGCGUGCGCAGACGGUUAUUUAAGUCGGAUGUGAAAGCCCCGGGCUCAACCUGGGAAUUGCAUUCGAAACUGAAUGGCUAGGGUGCGGAAGAGGGAAGCGGAAUUUCUGGUGUAGCGGUGAAAUGCGUAGAUAUCAGAAGGAACAUCAGUGGCGAAAGCGGCUUCCUGGUCCAGCACCGACGUUCAGGCACGAAAGCGUGGGGAGCAAACAGG
rnacentral:rRNA from 1 species